AUUGUCACACUGUUCCUGCUUCCUGACAGGUUCACUUGAACCAUCUGGAGAUUGGGGAACAAGGGCAAUGAGUUGAACAUGUAGGAAGUUUCAUGGCCCAGCCCCUCCUGAGAGCCCUGAACUGCCAACCAGACUGAGCCCAUCAGAGAAUAACACCUCAUUUUCUGAGGAUUCUGAUACCUUUUCAAUCAGAAACAGAAGCAAAGAUUCUGCAGCUCCCACAGAAACUCCCAGAAACCUUGCGGUGCUUCACCCUUCUGAGAUCCUUGAGUCCGAAUGUGGGAGCUAACCAGGUUGCCUUUCUUUACUUACCAUGAAUUCCUCCUAGACUCGUGGUGGCACCUAGGCUUUGGUUCACUCUCACUCUGUUACUAACACUUUUUAUUAAGUAAUGGGAAGGGAAGUAAAUCAUUUAUUUUAUGGCUAAACAUAUAUGCUCAUUAUUCAUAUUAUAUAUCAAUGGUUCCAGGGGAAAAAUAGAUGCACAUUUGAUGUGCAAAUUAUGUAAAAGUGUUUAGGACUUGGCUAUAUAUGUUUCUUUGGUGGAGAAAUAUCUAUGUGAUAGAGAUUUCUUUGGGAAAGAUGACACUCACAAAAAAAGCCAGAAAUUUCUGUUUUAUAGAUUUUGAUAAAAUGUAUGAAAUAAUUUUCGCAGCCAAAGGAAAGUAUAGCACAGUAUAUUAUGGAGAGAUGUUACAGCUCAGGAAAAUUAAUACAUGUCAGCUGUUUAAUAAAUUAUGCAUUUAAUUAUUGCCAGUACAGUCACAAUACAUGCUAAUCUAUGAGAAUAUAUUUAUUGCAAUAGAAUAUAAACCCAAAUGGAUGCUAAAUCUAUGUCUUAUCUUUCAUUAAGCAUGGCACUAAAGAGGGCAUAAGGCACCUGCAAUGUACUAGAUAAAUAUGUAUAAAUAUUAGAUUUUCCAUAGACUGGAGGAUAAGUUUUUGUGGUGCACAUGGAAAGAGUACAGAAAAAGAACUCAGGUGGUAGGUGGUGGUGUAACAAAGUAGGAAAACGAUGUAAUAAUUAAUAAUACUUUAAAUUUUCUUUUUAUAGGAUUUUUGUUUAAUGUGUACCUUUUUAUUUAUUUCUGCUUUUCCUCCCGAGGCACAUCUUCACAAUGAAAUCUUCACAAGCUCAGAACCAUCAACUUGCUACACUGUGUUCCUCCAGUGCCCAGUUCACAGGAAGCACUCAAGAGUAGGAUCAAUUGUUAUCAACCUCUAGCAGAUUAUUGAAUAGACGGUCGUUACAUGAAACUGACACUCAGUUCUUCAUGGUCCACGAUAGUUCUUAUAUCCAGAAAACGUACUUACGUUAUCAACUCUGACUCCAUAAGACAACUUUGCAAAGUCUUGGCUCAUAACUAUGUAAGCAAUGAGAUAACUUAGUUUUCAUUUCUCACUUGUUACUUACAAGUAAACAGCCCUGCAGCUCAGCUGAGCUACAGAUUAACUACAGGUAAUCACUUCAGCGAUUCUGCUUUACCCAUGCCCAAGAUUUUAAAAAAGAACCUGACAGAUCAUUAAAUUUUGAGAUUUGCUUUUUAAAAUGCAGGUUCCAUAAAGUUACGCUGUUUUGCUUAUAUAUACAGCAACAAAUGCCUUCUUAGAUAUUUACUUUAAAAUUCUAGUUUCCUUACCAUGUAUUAGCCAGAUAAUCUGUCAUUUUUUAAAUUCUGAAAUUGUACAUAUAUAAAUUAAUGUACAUCUCUAUGCCUGAAAGGUACAUUUGGAAUUACAACGUGUGUCAAGGUAGAGCAAAAUCCCCCAGUCCACUCCUUCCAACCCCCUAGAAAUUUACUCUGUUUGGUUUCCUCUUGAUUGUCUUUAAUUAACAAUAAGUAUGUCACAUAGGUAUCAAAUAAAAUAAGAAAAAAAAUAGAUAAAAGAGAAGUGAUUCAAAAUUCAAGUGUUUAAACACUUUAUGAAUCUUCCCGUUGUUCUUGACACAUUUUUAAAAUUUCAUUUUAAUUCAGAUCAUUAGGGAUGAAAUUCUCCUGAAUUGUAGCAUUUUAUUUCCUUUGGGAAGAAGGGGCUGAAUUUGGCAUAAUUAUACUUGACUAUACUGUAAAAGAAACCAGAUCUAAUAUAAGGACAUCAAUACUUAGUUAUUAAUUCAUUUGCUUAUAUUUAUAUGUCAUUUGAAAAUGUGUAUUAACAUACACAAUUAAAGGGAUAUAAAAAUGAACAUGCCCUCUCCAUUUCUUUAAAAGAAAUCAAGGCUGAAUCAAACAGGACUACUGUUCUGAAAGAAUACUCAGACUAUGAGUCUUCCUCCAGACAGGCACGCCAUACAACCGACUACACUUGGGCUCACUGAAUGAAUCACAUUCUUCUGCUGUGCCUCCCAGAGAUUUCAUCAAAGCACCCGCAGUGGCCUUCUGGAGGCUCCUCAAACUCUCCACUCAAUGUUUCCUGAAAGUGUCGUGUUUCUCACCUCUAGAUUGUUAUUCUCAUCAGUUACAUGUGGGUUUCACAAAUUUAUUUCUCAGAAUGCAAGUCUGUCUCUUAUAUCCUCGGGAAACACACCUUUAUAUCCCAGUUAGUACUGACAAAAAUUAAACUAGGGACUGGCCAAAAACAGUGCCUUUCCUCACUUUAAUCUCACUAAAGUAGAUAAGACUCAAGUUAUUUUGUUCUUGCAAUGGCAUUGACAAAUGUUUGCACCAAAAACCAUGUUGAAGUUCAUUAAGGAAACUGUGAUCCAAGAUCCAAGGUCAAAAAAACAAAUUCAUCAAUUCAGCACACCACCAACUCACAGGCUAAGCAUCUUACUGCUAAUUCAUUGAUGCUGCCAUUUGUCAAGUGCCAAAUUGAAUUA
rnacentral:lncRNA from 1 species